UACGUAGGGUGCGAGCGUUGUCCGGAAUUAUUGGGCGUAAAGGGCUCGUAGGCGGUUUGUCGCGUCGGGAGUGAAAACCUUGGGCUUAACUCAGGGCUUGCUUUCGAUACGGGCAGACUAGAGGUAUGCAGGGGAGAACGGAAUUCCUGGUGUAGCGGUGAAAUGCGCAGAUAUCUGGAGGAACACCGGUGGCGAAGGCGGCAUCCUGGACCGGCAUUGACGCUGAAUAGCGAAAGCCAGGGGAGCAAACGGG
rnacentral:rRNA from 1 species